AUUGAACGCUGGCGGAAUGCUUUACACAUGCAAGUCGAACGGCAGCACGGACUUCGGUCUGGUGGCGAGUGGCGAACGGUUGAGUAAUGUAUCGGAACGUGCCCAGUCGUGGGGGAUAACGUAGUGAAAAUCACGCUAAUACCGCAUACGAUCUAUGGAUGAAAGCGGGGGAUCGAAAAACCCCGCGCGAUUGGAGCGGACGAUUUCAGAUUAGGUCGUGGGUGGGGUAAAAGCCCACCAAGCCAACGAUCUGUAACUGGUCAGAUGAGAGGGCGACCAGCCACACUGGAACUGAGAUACGGUCCAGACUCAUACGGGAGGCAGCCGUGGGGAAUUUUGGACAAUGGGCGAAAGCCUGAUCCAGCCAUUCCGCGUGCAGGAUGAAGGCCCUCGGGUUGUAAACUGCUUUUGUACAGAACGAAAAGGAUUCUACUAAUACUAGGAGCUCAUGACGGUACUGUAAGAAUAAGCACCGGCUAACUACGUGCCAGCAGCCGCAGUAA
rnacentral:rRNA from 1 species